CCCCUCUCAGGGUCGCACCUGGAGAGUUUCCGGGUCUCUACCAGUCUCGGCUACGGGAGGGAGAGUCAAGCAGUGGCCUACCCGUUCCAUUCCUUGCUUGGCCAGUGGCUAGCAAGUGGAAGCCAAUCUGCUACAAGU
rfam:Ornithorhynchus anatinus chromosome 5, whole genome shotgun sequence.